GGAAGGAUCAUUAACACUAAUCCAACUCAACUCAACGAAGCCUUCAGUUGCAGCAGUGCUCAAGCGCCGCUGCAGCACCAAAACAAACUAAUACCAAAGGAGCCUAACUAAGCUCAACCACAACAACCAAAUUCUCAACGAUGGAUAUCUUGGUUCCCAUAACGAUGAAGAACGCAGCGAAGUGCGAUAAGCAAUGCGAAUUGCAGAACCGUGAGUCAUCAGAUUUUUGAACGCAACUGGCGCUGGCUGGGUCUCCAGCCAGCAUGCUUGUUUCAGUGUCUUGUUUUCUCCUCACCCAGAUCAUAAUGCGAGAGAUGCCCUUCUCUUGCCAAGUACGAAAGCACUCUGCGCUCGGCGCGCGGCGAUCUCGACUUGCUCGGGUGCCGCACUCAAUGCAGCCGUCACAUUGCUCACAAUGUGAACUCAUUGGGAGCCGAGGCAGUGCAGCUUCUGCUGCCAGUGCUUAGCCAGCCAAACUCUCCUUGCAUCUGAAAUCAAGCAGGAUCACCCGCUGAACUUAAGCAUAUCACUAAGCGGAGGAAAAGAAAUUAACUAAGAUUGCCUCAGUAACGGCGAGUGAAGCGGCAAGAGCCCAAGCUGGAAAUCUUCACACUGCGUGUGACGAAUUGUAAUCUAAAGAGGGUUCGCUCAACGGGCGGUGGCGCAGAAGUGCCUUAGAACGGGCCGCCAGAGAGGGUGACAGCCCCGUACGUGGUGCCACUGCUUAACGAGCGGGCUCCCGAAGAGUCGGGUUGUUUUGUAUUGCAGCCCUAAGUGGGAGAUAAACUUCUUCUAAGGCUAAAUACCUAUGGGAAACCGAUAGCGAACAAGUACUGUGAAGGAAAGAUGAAAAGAACUUUGAAAAGAGAGUCAAAAGACUUGAAAUCGUUGAGAAGGAA
rnacentral:misc_RNA from 1 species